CCUACGGGAGGCAGCAGUGGGGAAUAUUGGGCAAUGGAGGAAACUCUGACCCAGCGACGCCGCGUGCGGGAUGAAGGCCUUCGGGUUGUAAACCGCUUUCAGUAGGGAAGAAGCGAAAGUGACGGUACCUACAGAAGAAGCACCGGCUAACUAUGUGCCAGCAGCCGCGGUAAUACAUAGGGUGCAAGCGUUGUCCGGAAUUAUUGGGCGUAAAGAGCUCGUAGGUGGUUCGUCACGUCGGAUGUGAAAAUCUGGGGCUCAACCCCCAGACCUGCAUUCGAUACGGGCGAUCUAGAGUGUGGUAGGGGAGACUGGAAUUCCUGGUGUAGCGGUGGAAUGCGCAGAUAUCAGGAGGAACACCAAUGGCGAAGGCAGGUCUCUGGGCCAUUACUGACACUGAGGAGCGAAAGCGUGGGGAGCGAACAGGAUUAGAUACCCUGGUAGUCCACGCCGUAACGGUAGGGCGACUAGUUGUGGUACCGUUACCUACGGUUUCGUUGCGACGCAGCUACGCAUUAAGUGCCCGGCCCGUCGGGUAGGUACGAUCGCGAGAAUUAAAACUUAACAAAUAGAAGUUAGACGGCGUGAGACGUGCCGAACGGACGACCGACCGAGGGGAGGUAGGG
rnacentral:rRNA from 1 species